UACGAAGGGGGCUAGCGUUGCUCGGAAUCACUGGGCGUAAAGGGUGCGUAGGCGGGUGCUCAAGUCCGGGGUGAAAUCCUCCAGCUCAACUGGAGAACUGCCUCGGAUACUGGGUGCCUCGAGGGUGGUAGGGGUAUGCGGAACUAUCGGUGGAGCGGUGAAAUGCGUUGAUAUCGAUAGGAACUCCGGUGGCGAAGGCGGCAUACUGGACCACAUCUGACGCUGAGGCGCGAAAGCCAGGGGAGCAAACGGG
rnacentral:rRNA from 1 species